AGUGAACGCUGGCGGUAGGCCUAACACAUGCAAGUCGAACGGCAGCACAGUAAGAGCUUGCUCUUACGGGUGGCGAGUGGCGGACGGGUGAGGAAUACAUCGUAAUCUACUUUUUCGUGGGGGAUAACGUAGGGAAACUUACGCUAAUACCGCAUACGACCUACGGGUGAAAGCAGGGGAUCUUCGGACCUUGCGCGAUUGAAUGAGCCGAUGUCGGAUUAGCUAGUUGGCGGGGUAAAGGCCCACCAAGGCGACGAUCCGUAGCUGGACUGAGAGGAUGAUCAGCCACACUGGAACGGAGACACGGUCCAGACUCCUACGGGAGGCAGCAGUGGGGAAUAUUGGACAAUGGGCGCAAGCCUGAUCCAGCCAUACCGCGUGGGUGAAGAAGGCCUUCGGGUUGUAAAGCCCUUUUGUUGGGAAAGAAAAGCAGCAGGUUAAUACCCCGCUGUUCUGACGGUACCCAAAGAAUAAGCACCGGCUAACUUCGUG
rnacentral:rRNA from 1 species